rnacentral:tRNA from 5 species
GGGGUAUUAGCUCAGUUGGUAGAGCGUCAGGUUCGCAAUCUGAAGGUCAGGGGUUCGAUCCCCCUAUGCUCCA